UACGUAGGGGGGCAAGCGUUGUCCGGAAUUAUUGGGCGUAAAGGGCGCGUAGGCGGCCUGGCAAGUGGAAGGUGAAAUCCCUCGGCUCAACCUCGGGUCUGCAGUCGAUACGGGCAAACUAGAGUAUUGCAGGGGAGACUGGAAUUCCUGGUGUAGCGGUGAAAUGCGCAGAUAUCAGGAGGAACACCGGUGGCGAAGGCGGGUCUCUGGGCAAUAACUGACGCUGAGGAGCGAAAGCGUGGGGAGCGAACAGG
rnacentral:rRNA from 1 species